UUUUUGGAGAGUUUGAUCCUGGCUCAGGACGAACGCUGGCGGCGUGCCUAAUACAUGCAAGUCGAGCGAAUCCUUCGGGGUUAGCGGCGGACGGGUGAGUAACACGUAGGCAACCUGCCCG
rnacentral:rRNA from 1 species